CUAAUAUUUAUGAUUAUAUUAGUUUGUCCCAUUACUUUUGAGCCUGUGAAAAUGGAGGAACUCUGUAAAAAAU